GGGAUUGGAUUAGUUGAAUAUCCAUGGUUUGUUGUUUGGUUGAAAGGAUAAGAAGUGGCUAAGGACAUGCCAAGUUUGGAAAAUAUACACAGCGCGCACACAUAAGCAGCCACACAAUCAUCCAUGAGUAUAAUAACAGAUCGGGCUGCAGUUCGUAGUGCAAAAAAUCAGAGAAUAUAAUUUUAUACUAGGGGAACUGGAGCAUGGGAAUUGAGAGGAUAGAGCCACCGAGCCAGCCUCAGCCUAACCCAUCAGGCACGCAAAGCUCGAUUGCGUGGUGGCCGUCGUCGAGGAGUGCGAGGCUCCGGCUGGAUCCGGUUCUACACCUUCACGAGCACUCAAGGGUGAUGGUGCCAUCGCAGAUCCGCCCAAAUCGCCAUCGCCGCCGCCUUCACGCCGGGCACGCACACUGCACACGAGAGAUGGCUGGAUUGACAAGUAGAGGAAGGGCAAGGCCUGUCCGCCGCUGCGCUUCUCCGGCCGGCGCCCGCCGGCGCCGCCGCCAAGCCCGGGGAGGAGGAGGAGAGGUGGAUAAACUGAGAGAUGCUUUUCUUUCGGGAGAGUUGACUGAACGGACGACUCAGGAUUCGCUUGCGACACGAACGUGGCUGCCCUCAUCUCCGCCAUAUUUUGCCGGCUC
rnacentral:rRNA from 1 species